UGCCUAAUACAUGCAAGUCGAACGAGGUGCUUGAGUAGCAAUACAGAGUAUCCUAGUGGCGAACGGGUGAAGUAACGCGUGGAUGACCUGCCCCAAAGUGUGGGAUAACAGUCCGAAAGGAUUGCUAAUACCUCAUGUGGUUGUUGGAUUUAGAAACUGACAACUAAAGCAGCAAUGCGCUUUGGGAGGGAUCUGCGUCCCAUCAGCUAGUUGGUGAGGUAACGGCUCACCAAGGCGACGACGGGUAGGGGACCUGAGAGGGUGGCCCCCCACAAUGGAACUGAAACACGGUCCAUACACCUACGGGUGGCAGCAGUAGGGAAUAUUGCUCAAUGGGCGAAAGCCUGAAGCAGCAACGCCGCGUGUGCGAUGAAGGCCUUCGGGUCGUAAAGCACUUUUCUGAGAGAUGAGAAGGACAGUAUCUCAGGAAUAAGUCUCGGCUAACUACGUGCCAGCAGCCGCGGUAAAACGUAGGAGGCGAGCGUUAUCCGGAUUCACUGGGC
rnacentral:rRNA from 1 species